ensembl:lncRNA
GCAAGAACACUGGAGUGCGUUGCCAUUUCCUUCUCCAAUGCAUGAAAAUGAAAGUGAAAGUGAAGUUGCCCAGUCGUGUCCGACUCUUCACAACCCCAUGGACUGCAGUCUACAGGCUCCUCCAUCCAUAGGAUUUUCCAGGCAAAAGUACUGGAGUGGGGUGCCAUUGCCUUCUCCGGAUGAAUUCUCUUAGUGGUUCAUAAGUCUGAACCCCUAAUGAAAUAAGGAUCUAGGCAAUGACCAAACAUGGCUAUUAAUACCACAAAGAGCUCAACAUUAACCAGAUAUUAAAUGCCUCCUGAUAAACCUCUGCAAUAUUCUUGCCAAGAAAAUCAGAACUAACUGAGCAAAUCUCUCACUAUAGUGACCAUAUUACAGGAAAUACAGGGGCCAGAGAUGUAACACGUAAAAUGAUAUCUUGGGGAUGAUAUCAGGAAAACUCAGACUGUAGAAUAAAAGACAUGGUUACUGUAGCAAAUUUCAAGACCAAAAGGAGAGGAAGAUGAGGGGUCGGGGAGAGGAAAUGAUCUUUAGAGCAAAUGAGACUAGAGAGACCUAUCAACUAAUUUCAAUAUAUGGACCUUAUUUUGAUCUUGAUUUGAAUGCAUACACUUAAAAAUAUGAGACAGUUGGGCGAACGCCAACACUGACUGUAAGUUUAAUGAUAUUACAAAAUUAACAUUAGCUUUUUAGGUAGGAUCAUGGUUCGUUAUUUUUUAAAAAGACUAUUUAUAUCUUAGAGAUACCCACGGACAAUAUUUACAGAUGAAAUGAUAUGCUGCCUUGGAUUUGCUUCAAAAUUAUCUGGGAGAUGAGGGUGAUAGUGAAGAUGAGAGAAAACUGCCCGUGUGUUAACAACUGUUGAAACAAGGAAUUUACUUUGUGAGGCCCCUGGAACAAAGGAUACUUAGGGAACAAGGGAUCGGAGUAACACCUAACUGCUUUCAUUCCGUGAAAGUGGCCCUACGACAGAGGUCGUGGAAACACUAUUCUUGGAGCUAUGAAACUUUUUAAAGGAAGGUUCAUUGUUCUACAGAGACACAUCAGAAUUAAUGAGGACAACAAACAGCUGUGCCGAUAAACCCAUUCUGCUUCGUGACACACUCUGGCAAUUGGCAGAUGGUCUAUCUUGCAGAGGAUUGCAGAGGAAUGAGAAGAAUGCUGUAUCCGGUUUAGAAUUGAUCAUGUGAUACAACGCUGGCUGAAGGGACACAGGAGAAACUCUCCCAGGAGGCUUUGGGAAAAGUUUUUCUUCUUCUUAAAAUGAAACAUGAUAGGAUGACUGGUGACCAUUACCAAGCUUGAUUUCAAGUUGCUGGAUAGCAUCAAUUCCAUGAACUCCAUGAAGUCAAGGACCUUAUCUGUCUUGCUGCUACUGCUGCUGCUGCUAAGUCGCGUCAGUGGUGUCUGACUCUUAGCAUCCCCAUGGACUGCAGCCUACCAGGCUCCUCCGUCCAUGGGAUUUUCCAGGCAAGAGUACUGGAGUGGGUUGCCAUUGCCUUCUCCUUAUCUGUCUUAUUUCAUCCUAAUACCUAGAAAGUGCCCUGAGUAAAUAAAUUAGAUUAAAAACAAGAAACACCAAAUGACCGUUGGAGACAUCUGCACUCAACAUUCCCUGAAGCUAAAAGUUAAAUAACACAAAACUCUGGCAGCUCAGACAAAAAUGUGAUGACUUGAUCUCUGUUGUUGGUAGUUUCAUGAACAAGGGAAGGACUGCAAGAACCAAAGACAUUUUUCGUAUUCUCUCUUAAUUUUGAAAUUUGAAUUCCAACAAGAUGGUAUUAUUUUGAUUUAGAUUCCUUUUUGUUUAGGAAACCUAAACUAACAGUUAUUUUGGCUGCUACAAAGAGGUCCUGACUCCUCUCAUUUAACAAACCAAUGUUCAGGAAAAAAAAGAAAAAGAUUUUGAUGUCCAGAAGAGGGACAUCUUCCUGAGACUCUGAAACUUGAGAUAUCAUAAGUAUUUCUCCUCUGCAAUUGUUGAGAAAAGUAGCACGUUUCUUCUCUAGGGGAACUGAAGCAUAAUGAAAUGCAAUCUAAGAACAUGCAAACUUAUUAUCUACCAGGAUGGUUGAAUGGUUCCAAUCAAAUGGAAGAGAGAAAUAAGGGCUUUAUAUUCGGAUUUUGGAAAAAUGAUUCCACAGCUAUAUAUAGGUGCAACAGUGCCUACAAAUACCUGAAACAGUGGCAUCUGUGGCUUGCUUGUAUCAUCAUGAGUGUAUUUUCUAUUUGAAACUGUCUAUGGGGGUGAGGAAACAAUCACCACAAAUUAUUCCUGCAAAUGGAGAGACGCUAUCUCACUGUGGAUGGGAAGAACAAGGCUGCUAUGUGUCUAUGUGAGAGGUUGUAACUAUUAUUCAGGUGAAUCCUUAGAGGGCUGCCUUUGUGCCAAAGACUGCAUAGAGUAGGUGGACCCUGUGACUAAAAAAGCAAAAAAUGUUAUUUAUUUCUCCCACUCUUAGAAACUGCUAAGAAGUGGAGCUAUAGCUUUUAUGAGAAUUCACUCUUUUCCACGCCUCCAUGUAUAGAAAUCCUGGCACCUGGGAGAUAACCUUUUUAAAAAUAUGAAUCUGAUGUCACUGACUACUUAAAACUUAUCAACAAGUAACCCAUUGCUUUUAGGGUAAAACUAAAAAUCUGUACUGUGGGGCUUUAGGUCCCUUAGAGAGCUCUGGCUGUGACCAGUCGUACAGCCUCCUCUGCACCCCAGGGACUUUGCACAUGCUUCUCUUUCUCUGCCUGAAAUCCAUCUUCCUCCACCUUCUGUGAAGUUAAAUCCUACCUCUCCCAAUCCUACCUCUUGUGUCUCAAGGGGCAAAACAUGUGAGAAGUUUCCCUGAUCUCCCAGACUAGAUCAAGUUCUUUUUUCAAUAUGCUCAUAAUUUCCUGAAACCUGUCUUUAUCAUAGUCAGCAUUAGCUGUCUCCCUCUCCUAGAUAGUGAUAGACAGCUCCCUGUCUCCCUGGCAUGCGGUAGUCCAUGGGGUCGCGAAGAGUCACACAACGACUGAGUGACUGAACUCUCCUACAUUAUUAGGACAGAUGCCCUGUCUGUCUGGCUCACUAGUAAAUGCUUGGGCACAUAGUAGGUACUCAAUGAAUAUACACCAUGUACAUAAAUGAACAAAUGGAGCUGGGUUAGGCAUUCCAUCCCUGCAUAAAUUUUCUAAAUACUUAAUAUGCUUACAAUACAAAUAAGUUUGUUCCCUUAUUAUAACUAAAACCCCAAAUGGUCAGGUUUCCCUUUGUUUCAUAUGACUCUGAGAUAGCUAGGUUAAGUAUAUGGGCUUUGUAAUCACACAAGCCUAAGCUCAAAACCUGGUUCAACCAUUACUGGCUGUGUAAUCAUGGGAAAGUUACUUGAAUUUCUCUGCUCCCGUUUCCUCAUCUGUAAAACAGGUCAUACCUGGAUUUCAAGCCCUGAUCUGUCAGUUGUCGGUUCAAGUUAGUCAUCUCUCUAAGCUUCAGGCUCCUUAACUAUACAAUUAGGCCAGUAGUAUCUGUCUGUCUAUCUCUCAGGGUUAUUAGGAGGAUUAAAAGUAUAUAUGAAAGUGAAAGUGUUAGUUGCUCAGUCAUGUCAGACUCUUUGCCACCCCAUGGACUGUAGCCUGCCAGGCUCCUCUGUGCAUGGAAUUCUCCAGGAAAGAAUACUGGAGUGGGUUGCCAUUUCCUUCUCCAGGGGAUCUUCUUGAUGCAGGGGUCAAUCCCAGGUCUCCUGCAUUGCAGGCGGAUUCUUUAUCGUCUGAACAGGGAAGCCUUUAAAUGUACACAUAUAUAUAUAUUUACAUUUGCUUAUAAACAUAUGGAAGGUGCUCAAUCUUUGUGGGCUAAAGCAGUAAAAGCAAAUUAAAGCAAGAGUUUGACAGCAUUUUCUAUCAGAAUACUAAAGCUAAAAAACUGUCUAAUGCAUCUGUUAGUAAUGAUGUAGAGAAAGAGUUAUCAUACACUGUUGGUAAAAUAUCCUUGGAAGGCACUUUGGCAAUAUCUAUAAAAACUGGAAAUGCAAAUAAAAUUUGACCUAGAAAUUUCUCUCCUUAGGAAUUCAUUCUUGAGGUAUAAUCAUACACGUUCACACAGAUGGC